rfam:Nicotiana attenuata strain TT chromosome 3, whole genome shotgun sequence.
UGGACAGAUUAUUGUAUUCGACUGUAUUCACGGCGUGAAACAGGGGAUUACACUGUUUUUAAACGAAAAGUGAAUCAAUUAACAUAAUAGACUCAU